rnacentral:lncRNA from 13 species
UCUGAUCCAAAAUAUCACAAUCUAAAAAGAUACACAGAUGUUCAGCUCCUGUUUUGCCUUUAUCAAGUUCAUCUGACAGUCCAGUGGGAAUGCUUGCAUUCCCAUGCACUCCAGCCUUCUCCACCUGCUCCCUGACCUCAGCAUGGUUCCCUGAGGAACUAGGAGAAGGGGCAGCUGUUGCCUCUGGUUUCCUUCAGCUGCGGUCACAGUAGCAGUUGUUCAAUAUUCCAUUACUUCUCUAACAUUUUCAGGAAAGUCACACGACACUCACCCUUGUCCUGACUUCCCCAGAGCAUGUCACCUUCAGUCUUCGUGCACCAGAGAAUCAAGUUGCUGGCAAGGGGCUGCAGAGAGGGAAACCGUGCUGGAAAUCCCAGGCUGCCAGAAACCUGGAGUGGAGCUCUCUUCUUUGGACUUCGUUUCCAUGGCCAGAAGGAAAGCAGCCUUUCUUAAAUUGUGCCUGCCUCAAAGCUGGCCCAUUUCUCUAUUGCCUUGACCUCAAUUAAAAAAAAAUUACAACAAUGUCCUUUAAAGAAUGCCACGAACAGCCUCUUGGCCUUCUACGGGAUAAAGCAGCCAAUUCCUUAGUCCGUCUCUAUAGAAAUUGUUUCUCCACUAUGUGGAGAAAAUAAGAUCCAACAUGGAGAUGGUUAUAUAAGAGGUAUCUGAAUGGGAUCUUGGGGGCGUGAAGAGUUGGAUCCCGGUCACGUGCAGAUGAAAACCGACCUGUUGAACUGGGCCGAAUCGUAAAACCAGCCGCAUUUCACUUGAACUGUUCAUACUAGGCCUGACCACCAACCGCCUGGAAAGACAGCUAUGCCGAGCAAGACUGAUCAUCUGCUAAAGACAUUCUAAGCCAUUAACCAGCCAUCAUCAAUCAUGGAUUAUAUGAAAACUAUACAGAGAUGGGGAAGGGUGAAGGACAAAGGUGUCUGCUGAUUGAAGGAACCCACUUCAACAGAGAGCCAGAGGAGCCCAUACACGACUGCCGACAGACCGAUGGACAUCCUUCACCCUGCUCGACCAGACCUCACCAACCUCCCCCUGCAGAACCCAGAGGAGGUACUGUAUAUGGAUCGCAGCAGCUUCAUGGUCAAUGGAGUCAGGUGUCUGGUUCCUGUCUCCAGCCAUGACAGUGAGAGACGCUCUGAGGCUGAAGGUUUUAGGUGGAUUGGGGUGAUGUCUUCUGCUGAAUUGGACCCCAAGGAAGCAAAACCUGAGACAAGGAUUUGAAAGCACCAUCAGGAAAGUGGGCAAGAUAAUGCAAGUAGGUGGAGAAUGAAAGGAGUGAGGCAAUGCUUGCAAUAAAAGCAGUUGCUGCUUCA